GCUAGCAGCCAUAUCACACUGCAACUCACAACUAGCAACCCACUGAAGCUAAGCAGGGCUGAGCCUGGUCAGUACCUGGAUGGGAGACCUCCUGGGAAGCUAUGGUUGCUGAUGGAA
ensembl:rRNA 5S_rRNA 5S ribosomal RNA